rnacentral:rRNA from 1 species
GACGAACGCUGGCGGCGUGCUUAACACAUGCAAGUCGAACGAAGAGCGAUGGAAGCUUGCUUCUAUCAAUCUUAGUGGCGAACGGGUGAGUAACGCGUAAUCAACCUGCCCUUCAGAGGGGGACAACAGUUGGAAACGACUGCUAAUACCGCAUACGAUCUAAUCUCGGCAUCGAGGAUAGAUGAAAGGUGGCCUCUACAUGUAAGCUAUCACUGAAGGAGGGGAGUGCGUCUGAUUAGCUAGUUGGAGGGGUAACGGCCCACCAAGGCGAUGAUCAGUAGCCGGUCUGAGAGGAUGAACGGCCACAUUGGGACUGAGACACGGCCCAGACUCCUACGGGAGGCAGCAGUGGGGAAUCUUCCGCAAUGGACGAAAGUCUGACGGAGCAACGCCGCGUGAGUGAUGACGGCCUUCGGGUUGUAAAGCUCUGUUAAUCGGGACGAAAGGCCUUCUUGCGAAUAGUGAGAAGGAUUGACGGUACCGGAAUAGAAAGCCACGGCUAACUACGUG